rnacentral:rRNA from 1 species
UACGAAGGGGGGCUAGCGUUGCUCGGAAUUACUGGGCGUAAAGCGUGCGCAGGCGGUUUGCUAAGACAGGUGUGAAAUCCCCCGGGCUUAACCUGGGAACUGCGCUUGUAACUGGCAAGCUUGAGUGUGGCAGAGGGGGGGUGGAAUUCCGACGUGUAGCAGUGAAAUGCGUAGAGAUGUGGAGGAACACCGGUGGCGAAGGCGGAUCUCUGGGCCUUACCUGACGCUGAGGCGCGAAAGCUAGGGGAGCAAACAGG